CCUGGCUGAAUGAGAGCAGGGCUUGGGGCAAAGUGGCAGAAGGGUGACCCAAUGUCAACUCUUAAUUUGAUAUGCUGACCCUUUGAUGGAGCUACUACUGAGCAGUCACAUGCCCUGAAGUUGGUCACUUUCUACCCAGAGCAUCGUGUUAAUGCACAUAGAUUCUGCAACACAGGCUACAAAGAUUCAAAGACAGCUUUGCUGUUUGCUAGCUUUGUGACCUCAAGCAAGUUACUGAAAUUCCUGUCCCUCCGUUACUGCAUCCAUAAAAGGGCAGUUGCAAAACUAGUACCUGCCUCAUCAGGGUGUUGUGGGGUUGAAAGUGAAUUAAUAUGUGUUCGGUCUCGAGGUCAGUGCCUGUUGCAUAAGCACUUUGUAUCUGUUAUUAUUGCCUUCAAAACUCUCUUCACUGUCUGUGUACGACUUUCCAGCGUCUUGCAUAGAUUAAGUGUUUAAUAAAUAUCUCUUCAUGACAUUUUAUGUCUUCCCCUCUUCCCUCUCUUUGUCCUUCUCUCUCCACAAAUGGGG
rnacentral:lncRNA from 10 species